rnacentral:rRNA from 1 species
CCAAUAGCGUAUAUUAAAGUUGUUGCAGUUAAAAAGCUCGUAGUUGAAUUUCGGGACCAAUAUGUCGGUCGUACUUUGUACGUACUAGCAUUAUUGGUUUCUCCCUUCUGAAGAACCGCGAUGUCAUUAAUUUGGUGUCGUGGGGAAUCAGGACUGUUACUUUGAAAAAAUUAGAGUGUUUAAAGCAGGCUCGCGCUUGAAUACAUUAGCAUGGAAUAAU